rnacentral:lncRNA from 1 species
CACUUUGUUAUUUUUUUUAUACAUCAUGAAAUAUUGAACAAAAAAGAGGUCAUAAGCCAUUUUGUUGACUUUAUAGGUCUCCUGAGACUUCUUCAAGCUCUCUUCUUGAUUGCUGCCAUACAUCUGGAGUGAGAGCCAGCCAGAGACAAGAUGGCAGGUCUCCAGCUGAGGAAAGAAGAACAGAAGGUAUUUCUCUGUCUGCAGCAGAAAAAAAUGGUAAUUAACACACACUCUGAUCUCAUCUGAAUGUGUUUUUAACAUGGAUGUUCGAGGUUUCUUUUUUUUCUUUUUUCUUUUUUUUAAUAGCCUACUU